AGAGUUUGAUCCUGGCUCAGAACGAAUGCUGGCGGCGUGCUUAACACAUGCAAGUCGAACGGGUCUUAGCAGAACAUCGCUGAGACUAGUGGCAGACGGGUGAGUAACGCGUGGAUAAUCUACCCUUUAGUCUGGAAUAACUUAUCGAAAGGUGAACUAAUACCGGAUAAUAUCCCGGUUUCUUCGGCGAUCGGGAUCAAAGAAGGCCUCUGCUUGCAAGCUUUCACUGAAGGAUGAGUCCGCGUACCAUUAGCUAGUUGGUAGGGUAAUGGCCUACCAAGGCUAUGAUGGUUAGCUGGUCUGAGAGGAUGAUCAGCCACACUGGAACUGAAACACGGUCCAGACUCCUACGGGAGGCAGCAGUGAGGAAUAUUGCGCAAUGGGGGCAACCCUGACGCAGCAACGCCGCGUGAGUGAGGAAGGUUUUCGGAUUGUAAAGCUCUGUCGAGCGGAAAGAAGUGCAUGGUGGUUAAUAUCCAUCAUGCUUGACGGUACCGCUAAAGGAAGCACCGGCUAACUCCGUGCCAGCAGCCGCGGUAAUACGGGGGGUGCAAGCGUUGUUCGGAAUCAUUGGGCGUAAAGCGCGUGUAGGCGGCUGGACAAGUCAGAUGUGAAAGCCCUGGGCUUAACCCAGGAAGUGCAUUUGAAACUGUUCGGCUAGAGUAAGGGAGAGGAAAGUGGAAUUCCUGGUGUAGAGGUGAAAUUCGUAGAUAUCAGGAGGAACACCGGUGGCGAAGGCGACUUUCUGGCCCUAUACUGACGCUGAGACGCGAAAGCGUGGGUAGCAAACAGGAUUAGAUACCCUGGUAGUCC
rnacentral:rRNA from 1 species